rnacentral:rRNA from 1 species
GACGAACGCUGGCGGCGUGCCUAAUACAUGCAAGUCGAGCGCAGGAAAUCGACGGAACCCUUCGGGGGGAAGUCGAUGGAAUGAGCGGCGGACGGGUGAGUAACACGUAAAGGACCUGCCCUCAGGUCUGGGAUAACCACGAGAAAUCGGGGCUAAUACCGGAUGGGUCAUCGGACCGCAUGGUCCGAGGAUGAAAGGCGCUUCGGCGUCGCCUGGGGAUGGCUUUGCGGUGCAUUAGCUAGUUGGUGGGGUAAUGGCCCACCAAGGCGACGAUGCAUAGCCGAGCUGGGAGGGUGAUCGGCCACACUGGGACUGAGACACGGCCCAGACUCCUACGGGAGGCAGCAGUAGGGAAUCUUCCACAAUGGACGAAAGUCUGAUGGAGCAACGCCGCGUGAACGAUGAAGGCCUUCGGGUCGUAAAGUUCUGUUGUAAGGGAAGAACAAGUGCCGCAGGCAAUGGCGGCACCUUGACGGUACCUUGCGAGAAAGCCACGGCUAACUACGUGCCAGCCGCCGCGGUAAAAC